rnacentral:rRNA from 1 species
AACGAACGCUGGCGGCAGGCUUAACACAUGCAAGUCGAACGCCCCGCAAGGGGAGUGGCAGACGGGUGAGUAACGCGUGGGAACGUGCCCUUCGCUUCGGAAUAGCCCCGGGAAACUGGGAGUAAUACCGAAUACGCCGUAUUGGGAAAGAUUUAUCGGCGAAGGAUCGGCCCGCGUUAGAUUAGCUAGUUGGCGGUGUAACGGACCACCAAGGCUACGAUCUAUAGCUGGUCUGAGAGGAUGAUCAGCCACACUGGGACUGAGACACGGCCCAGACUCCUACGGGAGGCAGCAGUGGGGAAUCUUGGACAAUGGGCGCAAGCCUGAUCCAGCCAUGCCGCGUGAGUGAAGAAGGCCUUAGGGUUGUAAAACUCUUUCGCCGGAGAAGAUAAUGACGGUAUCCGGAGAAGAAGCCCCGGCUAACUUCGUGCCAGCCGCCGCGGUAA